GACGAACGCUGGCGGCGUGCUUAACACAUGCCUUUCGAACGGAAAGGCCCUGCUUUUGUGGGGUGCUCGAGUGGCGAACGGGUGAGUAACACGUGAGUAACCUGCCCUUGACUUUGGGAUAACUUCAGGAAACUGGGGCUAAUACCGGAUAGGAGCUCCUGCUGCAUGGUGGGGGUUGGAAAGUUUCGGCGGUUGGGGAUGGACUCGCGGCUUAUCAGCUUGUUGGUGGGGUAGUGGCUUACCAAGGCUUUGACGGGUAGCCGGCCUGAGAGGGUGACCGGCCACAUUGGGACUGAGAUACGGCCCAGACUCCUACGGGAGGCAGCAGUGGGGAAUAUUGCACAAUGGGCGGAAGCCUGAUGCAGCAACGCCGCGUGCGGGAUGACGGCCUUCGGGUUGUAAACCGCUUUCGCCUGUGACGAAGCGUGAGUGACGGUAAUGGGUAAAGAAGCACCGGCUAACUACGUGCCAGCAGCCGCGGUGAUACGUAGGGUGCGAGCGUUGUCCGGAUUUAUUGGGCGUAAAGGGCUCGUAGGUGGUUGAUCGCGUCGGAAGUGUAAUCUUGGGGCUUAACCCUGAGCGUGCUUUCGAUACGGGUUGACUUGAGGAAGGUAGGGGAGAAUGGAAUUCCUGGUGGAGCGGUGGAAUGCGCAGAUAUCAGGAGGAACACCAGUGGCGAAGGCGGUUCUCUGGGCCUUUCCUGACGCUGAGGAGCGAAAGCGUGGGGAGCGAACAGGCUUAGAUACCCUGGUAGUCCACGCUGUAAACGGUGGGUACUAGGUGUGGGGUCCAUUCCACGGGUUCCGUGCCGUAGCUAACGCUUUAAGUACCCCGCCUGGGGAGUACGGCCGCAAGGCUAAAACUCAAAGGAAUUGACGGGGCCCCGCACAAGCGGCGGAGCAUGCGGAUUAAUUCGAUGCAACGCGUAGAACCUUACCUGGGUUUGACAUGGAUCGGGAGUGCUCAGAGAUGGGUGUGCCUCUUUUGGGGUCGGUUCACAGGUGGUGCAUGCCUGUCGUCAGCUCGUGUCGUGAGAUGUUGGGUUAAGUCCCGCAACGAGCGCAACCCUUGUUCACUGUUGCCAGCACGUUAUGGUGGGGACUCAGUGGAGACCGCCGGGGUCAACUCGGAGGAAGGUGGGGAUGACGUCAAGUCAUCAUGCCCCUUAUGUCCAGGGCUUCACGCAUGCUACAAUGGCUGGUACAGAGAGUGGCGAGCCUGUGAGGGUGAGCGAAUCUCGGAAAGCCGGUCUCAGUUCGGAUUGGGGUCUGCAACUCGACCUCAUGAAGUCGGAGUCGCUAGUAAUCGCAGAUCAGCAACGCUGCGGUGAAUAAAGGGCCCGGGGCU
rnacentral:rRNA from 1 species